UAUAGUGCGUUGAGUUUAUACCUAAGUAUGAGAGGCUACGUACAGUGCGAAGUGUUUGGACUGCCGUUUGGACGCCACUGGGGCCAUUUUGGACCCUAUAGAAUGGGUUUUAAGGAGAUUAUGUUUGGUCCGUUCGGACAUGGCCCAAGGCAUUUUGGUCCUCCAGGCUGCAACGGUUUUUGGCACCACGGCCCCUCUGGUCAUCAUGGGCAUCAUGGGAGAAAUUUUCACGGCCCGGAUGACAGCCCUGCUAGGUGUGGACGUAGUUCCCCGCCCCCUGGUCCUCCAGGACAUCAUGGACCUGAUUAUCAUGCCCCAGAUAGCAGCCCUGAAAGGUGUGGACGUAGAUCUCCUGGGCGGCACGGUCCUCCAAAACAUGGAGCCCGUGGUGGCCCGGAUAGCAGCCCUGAAAGGUGUGGACAACGUUCUUCAUGGCAUCAUCGAUUCCCUGGACAUCAAAGCCCCCACGGACAUGGCCGCCACAGUCCUGAUCGAGCUGAUGGAACAGGACAGGAUUGUUCUUCGGGACCAUGGCGUCAUCGUCGACACGGCCGCCAUCUACGCCAGGAAUGCGGUUGCGGUCUUAGGUCUAGAUGCAAGCCUUACAAAGGACCUGACAGGUGCUGUGGAAGACCUGAGGAUGCGAAGGAAUCUGGAAAUGAAACCUGCGACCGCGGGACUUUGACUGACAUCUUUCCGAACAAAGCUGUUGUUAUAGAAAGAGUAGUGUUGGAAAAGGCACCCAGAUGUUAUUCAGUUUGAAGUAUCUGUAUGUAUUGAGUUUAUUUAUCUUUAAUCAACACUUAUGUAUACUAUAUACUUAUUGCAUCUAUUUCUUUGAGUUAUGAAUCAAUAUUAUUGUUUGCAUAUCAAGGAGGCAUUGUCGUAAACUUAGUUUACUAUAAACCAUAUAGAUGGCGCUAUUUUAAAUUAUGGCUGCCUAGUGAUUUACGGAGUAAAUAUUUUAAGGAGAGUGGCAUGUCACUUGCCUGAUGUAACUACUCAUAAAAAUUAAUAUCAACCAAGAAGUAUAAAUUAUCACAACAUUCACAACUCCAUUACACUGUUGUAAAUAGCCCAUAAUUCUUUACCUUCGUAGGACAGUAGGCGAAUGCCAACUAGGAAACGUCAAACGAAUAGUCGCAGGUUCGAUCUUGCUUUCAAAAAAUUAUAAUCCUUUUAAUUCUUAUUGAAAACUAUUGUGUUAGAAAAUUUGAAUUUUUUUACGUACUUAUAUAUUUCUUUAUUAGCGUCACUUUUAUUUCAAUAUUUUCAUCAUGUACAUUAUAUCCAAUAUUUAUCUGUUUUAGCAUAAAAUAUGUGAAUUUCACACAAAAGGGUGUAAAACAGUUCUAUUUAUGAUGUCACAAGUCUGAUAAAUCGUCCCAAGUUCAGUAAUAGAGCUAAAACGCCUACCGAUUAUUUACGAGCAAUAAAUCUCAGAUCCGCUAAUUUGCAUGGCCUUGAUUAAACCGGUACGGAUGGAGUUAAAAUUCAUUAGACAGUUGAAUUUGACGAUUGUUAAUGGACAAUGAAUCUUGGAAUAUGAAAAUUGACGUAUAGUACUACGAAUUUGUAAAACCUUAUCUUAUAAUGUAAGAUAUGAACCUCCUCUACUAACCAGAUAAAAGAGAAGAAACUCUGGAUUGUAUCAAAUGUUUACAACGUGCAAGGAAACAACGGAGAUAAGCAAAUGUAAAGCGAACUGCAAGUUUUAUGAAAAUUAAAAUAUUGUACCUAAAAA